UCUGGCAAUCGGCGCUCCGAAUCUUAAGGUUCCGUUAUGGUCGCAGCACGUUGUCGCCGAUCCGCGAUUUAAGGCCUGAAGCGCAGGCAAGAACGUCCUAUAGAUCGUGUCUGAGGGAUGCUUCAGCCUCAGCACUCGUCUGGGCGUUACGGGAAGCAGAGGCAUAGGCUUCGCUUUGCGUGGUGUCUGUAGCUCCUGGACUCUGGGUUCCGGGAUGGGCCCCUUACCCUCUCGCGAGGUUUCCCAGAUUCAUUUUCCUUGCUUGUUUUAUCCAUACAUGUGGGGACACAGAAGAAGGACGCUUCCCCAGUACCCUGUUGGUUUAAACCCGGGGAAGAAACGUGUAAUGCCAGGGCAGACGGCUCUUCUAGAAGACCUAAGUAUCCGUAACUCCAGCCCCUUGGAAUCUGACGCCUCUGGCCUGCACUCUUGGGCACACACCUUCAUGCAGGUUCUUGAAGAGGCCUGAGCUAUCAGAUCCCACUGGAGCUGAGUUUACAGGUAGUUGUGAGUUGCCUGUUGUGGGUGCAGGGAAUUAAAUUCAAUACAUGCUCUUAGCCACUGAGCCAUCACUCCAGCCCUGACUCAGUUUUUAGUUGGAUAUGUACUUUUGCUGAACAUAAACACUGCCACCUUGUGCCCAAACCUUGUACAGGUGUGCGAUGAGGGCUCUAAAAGGACCAGGAACAGCUGGCAGAUUUGAUUUAAAUAGCUGAAAUUUUUAUGAAUAGGUAAUGUAGGGAU